rnacentral:rRNA from 1 species
CUGGGUUUGACAUAUACCGGAAAGCCGCAGAGAUGCGGUUNCCCUUGUGGUCGGUAUACAGGUGGUGCAUGGCUGUCGUCAGCUCGUGUCGUGAGAUGUUGGGUUAAGUCCCGCAACGAGCGCAACCCUUUCUUAUGUUGCCAGCACGUNAUGGUGGGGACUCGUAAGAGACUGCCGGGGUCAACUCGGAGGAAGGUGGGGACGACGUCAAGUCAUCAUGCCCCUUAUGUCCAGGGCUUCACACAUGCUACAAUGGCCNGUACAGAGGGCUGCGANACCGUGAGGUGGAGCGAAUCCCUUAAAGCCGGUCUCAGUUCGGAUCGGGGUCUGCAACUCGACCCCGUGAAGUCGGAGUCGCUAGUAAUCGCAGUCAGCACG